GGAUGAGUACCCAAGAGGCUGAAGGGGUCGGUCUCGAAAACCGAUAGGAGUCAAAAGGCUCGCGGGGGUUCAAAUCCCCCCUCAUCCGCCA
rnacentral:tRNA from 1 species